rnacentral:rRNA from 1 species
AGCACGUAGGUGGGUUUGUAAGUCAGAUGUGAAAGCCUUCUGUUCAAAGGAAGAAUUGCUUCUGAAACUGCAGACCUUGAGUGUAGGAGGGGAGAGUGGAACUUCUGGUGGAGCGGUGAAAUGCGUAGAUAUCAGAAGGAACGCCGGCGGCGAAAGCGAUUCUCUGGCCUAUUACUGACACUCAGUGUGCGAAGGUUGGGGGAGCAAACGGGAUUAGAUACCCCGGUAGUCCUAGCUGUAAACGAUGGGCACUAAGUAGAGGGGUUUU